AAAUUGAAGAGUUUGAUCAUGGCUCAGAUUGAACGCUGGCGGCAGGCCUAACACAUGCAAGUCGAACGGUAACAGGAAGCAGCUUGCUGCUUCGCUGACGAGUGGCGGACGGGUGAGUAAUGUCUGGGAAACUGCCUGAUGGAGGGGGAUAACUACUGGAAACGGUAGCUAAUACCGCAUAACGUCGCAAGACCAAAGAGGGGGACCUUCGGGCCUCUUGCCAUCGGAUGUGCCCAGAUGGGAUUAGCUUGUUGGUGGGGUAACGGCUCACCAAGGCGACGAUCCCUAGCUGGUCUGAGAGGAUGACCAGCCACACUGGAACUGAGACACGGUCCAGACUCCUACGGGAGGCAGCAGUGGGGAAUAUUGCACAAUGGGCGCAAGCCUGAUGCAGCCAUGCCGCGUGUAUGAAGAAGGCCUUCGGGUUGUAAAGUACUUUCAGCGGGGAGGAAGGGAG
rnacentral:rRNA from 2 species